rnacentral:rRNA from 1 species
AAUCUUCCGCAAUGGACGAAAGUCUGACGGAGCGAUGCCGCGUGAGUGAUGAAGGUCUUCGGAUCGUAAAACUCUGUUGUUAGGGAAGAACAAGUAUCGGAGUAAUAUGCCGGUACCUUGACGGUACCUGACGAGAAAGCCACGGCUAACUACGUGCCAGCAGCCGCGGUAAUACGUAGGUGGCAAGCGUUGUCCGGAUUUAUUGGGCGUAAAGCGCGCGCAGGCGGUUCUUUAAGUUUGAUUUGAAAUUCUACAGCUUAACCGUAAGCGGUCAUUGGAAACUGGGAGAAUUGAGUGCAGAAGAGGAAAGUGGAAUUCCAUGGUUAGCGGUGAAAUGCGUAGAGAUAUGGAGGAACACCCGUGGCGAAGGCGACUCUCUGGUCUGUAACUGACGCUGAGGCGCGAAAGCGUUGGGAUCAAACA